UGGGGAAUUUUGGACAAUGGGCGCAAGCCUGAUCCAGCCAUGCCGCGUGCGGGAAGAAGGCCUUCGGGUUGUAAACCGCUUUUGGCAGGAACGAAACGGCGCGAGCUAAUACCUCGCGUUAAUGACGGUACCUGCAGAAUAAGCACCGGCUAACUACGUGCCAGCAGCCGCGGUAAUACGUAGGGUGCGAGCGUUAAUCGGAAUUACUGGGCGUAAAGCGUACGCAGGCGGCUUGGUAAGACAGGUGUGAAAUCCCCGGGCUUAACCUGGGAACUGCAUUUGUGACUGCCUGGCUAGAGUCCGUUAGAGGGGGGUGGAAUUCCACGUGUAGCAGUGAAAUGCGUAGAGAUGUGGAGGAACACCGAUGGCGAAGGCAGCCCCCUGGGACAGGACUGACGCUCAUGUACGAAAGCGUGGGGAGCAAACAGGAUUAGAUACCCCCGUAGUCC
rnacentral:rRNA from 1 species